rnacentral:tRNA from 1 species
GCCGACGUAGCUCAGCUGGUAGAGCAACUCCAUGGUAAGGAGUAGGUCACCGGUUCGAUCCCGGUCGUCGGCU